rnacentral:rRNA from 1 species
AUACGGGGGGUGCAAGCGUUAAUCGGAAUUACUGGGCGUAAAGCGCGCGUAGGCGGUUAGAUAAGUUGGAUGUAAAAGCCCCGGGCUCAACCUGGGAACUGCAUUCAAAACUGUUUGACUAGAGUAUGGUAGAGGGAAGUGGAAUUCCAGGUGUAGCGGUGAAAUGCGUAGAUAUCUGGAGGAACAUCAGUGGCGAAGGCGACUUCCUGGAUCAAUACUGACGCUGAGGUGCGAAAGCGUGGGGAGCAAACAGGAUUAGAAACCCCAGUAGUCC